rnacentral:rRNA from 1 species
UACAGAGGAGCCAAGCGUUGUCCGGAUUGACUGGGCGUAAAGCGCACGCAGGCGGACGCGCGCGUGGGGUGUGAAAUCUGGCCGCUUAACGGCCAGGCGCCAUCCCAUACGGCGGGUCUGGAGUGAUGCAGAGGGCGGUGGAAUUGCCGGUGUAGUGGUGAAAUGCGUAGAGAUCGGAAGGAACGUCAAUGGCGAAGGCAGCCACCUGGCAUAAUACUGACGCUGAGGCGCGAAAGCAUGGGGAGCGAACAGG